GACGAACGCUGGCGGCGUGCUUAACACAUGCAAGUCGAACGGAAAGGCCCCUUUGGGGGUUCUCGCGUGGCGAACGGGUGAGUAACACGUGAGUAACCUGCCCUUGCCUUCGGGAUAACUUCAGGAAACUGAGGCCAAUACCGGAUCGGAAUCCUUGCUGCAUGGUGGGGGUUGGAAAGCUUCGGCGGGUUUGGAUGGACUCGCGGCUUAUCAGCUUGCUGGUGGGGGAGUGGCUUACCAAGGCUUUGUCGGGUAGCCGGCCUGGGUGGGCGACCGGCCACAUUGGGACUGAGGUACGGCCCAGACACCUACGGGAGGGAGCAGGGGGGAAUAUUGCACAAUGGGCGGAAGCCUGGUGCAGCAACGCCGCGGGCGGGAUGACGGCCUUCGGGUUGUAAACCGCAUUCAGCAGGGGCGGAGCUUGUGGUGACGGUACCUGCAGAAGAAGCACCGGCUAACUACGUG
rnacentral:rRNA from 1 species